UACGAAGGGGGCUAGCGUUGUUCGGAUUUACUGGGCGUAAAGCGCACGUGGGCGGAUCGUUAAGUCGGGGGUGAAAUCCUGGAGCUCAACUCCAGAACUGCCUUCGAUACUGGCGAUCUUGAGUCCGGAAGAGGUGAGUGGAACUCCUAGUGUAGAGGUGGAAUUCGUAGAUAUUAGGAAGAACACCAGUGGCGAAGGCGGCUCACUGGCCCGGUACUGACGCUGAGGCACGAAAGCGUGGGGAGCAAACAGG
rnacentral:rRNA from 1 species